AUGUAUUUCUUCACUCAACUAGAAUGUGAUUGUAUACUGAGAAAAAGAACAAGAGGGGGUAGGUCGUCCAACGGAUGGUGGGACCCGGUCGCCGAACAAGGUGUUGAAAGUGCAGAAGAGAAAGACGGGGAAAGGUUCAGCCCAGCCGCUUUGCUGACCCUCUUGUUUCUGUUUGGGUUCGACCGACGCUGCCUAUGUUUUUUGCGGCUAAAAGGAGCAGUAUCAUCGGCUAGAAAGCAAGCAAGACGGCACGGAGAUUUCUGCCUCUCCUCCCGCAGACGUCGCCUCCUUGAACCAGACACGCCACCAGGCAGCAGGAAAGUGAGGCAGGAGAAGGCUCUCCUCCUUGCAGCAGGCAUCGGUUCUAUUCUAUCAGCAAGCAGUUCAGAACCAAGAAGAUUGGAGACGGGCAUGCGCAGGGUUCGAGUCUCGUCCCACCACUCUCCGGUCCACAAGCUGGGCGAUUCGAACAUGAAGCUGACGCCCAAGUUCCGGCUUGCCGCCGGCACCACCUCAUCACCGUCCUCCUCCGAGCUGGAGCAACCUCAACCCCCAUGGGAGACGCCGCUCAUCCCGGGCCUCCCGGACGACGCGGCGCUCAACUGCCUGCUCCGGCUGCCCGUGGAGGCCCACGGCGCCUGCAGGCUCGUGUGCCGCCGCUGGCGCCACCUCCUGGCCGACAAGGCGCGCUUCUUCACGCAGCGGAGGGCCAUGGGCCUCCGCUCGCCGUGGCUCUUCACGCUCGCCUUCCACCGCUGCACGGGCAAGAUCCAGUGGAAGGUGCUGGACCUCGACCGCCUCGCCUGGCACGCCAUCCCCGGCAUGCCCUGCCGGGACCGGGCCUGCCCCCGCGGCUUCGGCUGCAUCGCCGUCCCGGGCGACGCCGCCCAGCUGCUCGUCUGCGGCGGGCUCGUCUCCGACAUGGACUGCCCGCUGCACCUGGUGCUCAGGUACGACGUCUGCAGGAACCGCUGGGCCGUCAUGGCCCGGAUGCUCUCGGCGCGGUCCUUCUUCGCCGGCGGCGUCGUCGACGGCCGCGUGUACGUCGCCGGGGGCUACAGCACGGACCAGUUCGAACUGAACUCAGCCGAGGUUCUCGACCCGGCCAACGGCGUGUGGCAACCAAUCGCCAGCAUGGGCACCAACAUGGCCUCCUCUGACUCGGCCGUGAUCGGCGGCAGGCUCUACGUCACCGAGGGCUGCGCGUGGCCCUUCUUCUCGUCGCCGAGAGGGCAGGUGUACGACCCCAGGGCCGACCGCUGGGAGGCGAUGCCGGCCGGGAUGCGCGAGGGGUGGACGGGGCAGAGCGUGGUCAUCGACGGGCGGCUGUUCGUCAUCUCGGAGUACGAGAGGAUGAAGGUGAAGGUGUACGAUCCGGAGACGGAUUCCUGGGAUCCUGUCGACGGGCCUCCCAUGCCCGAGCGGAUCAUGAAGCCUCUGUCCGUGAGCUGCCUGGACAGCAAGAUCGUCGUCGUUGGCCGGGGUCUCCAUGUGGUGAUCGGCCAUGUCAAGAAGCAAUCCGGCGGCAACAACGGCGGUGGCGGCGGUUCUUGUGACUACUUGGUUCGUUGGCAGGAUGUGGAGGUUCCCAGGGCGUUCAGCGAUCUGACGCCUUCAAGCAGUCAGAUUUUACAUGCUUAA
rnacentral:rRNA from 1 species